rnacentral:rRNA from 1 species
UACGUAGGGGGCUAGCGUUGUCCGGAAUCAUUGGGCGUAAAGAGCGUGUAGGCGGCCCGGUAAGUCCGCUGUAAAAGUCAAAGGCUCAACCUUUGAAUGUCAGUGGAUACUGCCGGGCUAGAGUCCGGAAGAGGCGAGUGGAACUCCUGGUGUAGCGGUGGAAUGCGCAGAUAUCAGGAAGAACACCAACGGCGAAGGGCAGCCUCGCUGGGACGGUACUGACGCUGAGACGCGAAAGCGUGGGGAGCGAACAGG